rnacentral:rRNA from 1 species
UACAGAGAUCUCAAGCGUUGUUCGGAUUCAUUGGGCGUAAAGGGUGCGUAGGCGGCGCGGUAAGUCGGGUGUGAAAUCUCGGGGCUUAACUCCGAAACUGCAUUCGAUACUGCCGUGCUUGAGGACUGGAGAGGAGACUGGAAUUUACGGUGUAGCGGUGAAAUGCGUAGAUAUCGUAAGGAAGACCAGUGGCGAAGGCGGGUCUCUGGACAGUUCCUGACGCUGAGGCACGAAGGCCAGGGGGAGCAAACAGG